rnacentral:RNase_P_RNA from 2 species
CGAGUAGGCUGAAUGACCGCGAGCGUUUGCUCGAGGAAAGUCCGAGCACCAUAGGGCAGGAUGCCGGAUAACGUCCGGUGAAGGCGACUUCAAGGAAAGUGCAACAGAGAGAUACCGCGAAUCCCGUUUGGGACGCAAGGGUGGAAAGGUGAGGUAAGAGCUCACCAGCGGCCUGGCGACUUGUCCGCUAUGUAAACCCCAUCCGGUGCAAGGUUGAUAGGGAGCAAUUGUGGCGGCCCGUCACGCUCCGGGUAACUGCUUGAGCCCCGCGGUGACGCAGGGCCUAGAUAGAUGGUCAUUCACGACAGAACUCGGCUUAUAGGCUUGCUCGCUUC